UGAUGCGAUUUCCAGAGCCCAGAGCCUGAACCCCCCUGGAGCAGAGAGGGUGAGAGGAUGAGAGGAUGACAGGGUGAGAGGAGAGAGGGUGAGAGGGUGAGAGGAGAGAGGGUGUGAGGAUGACAGGGUGAGAGGGAGAGAGGAUGAGAGGGUGAGAGGGUGAGAGGAGAGAGGGUGAGAGGAUGAGAGGAGAGAGGAUGAGAGGGUGAGAGGAUGAGAGGGUGAGAGGAGAGAGGUGAGAGGGUGAGAGGAGAGAGGGUGAGAGGAGAGAGGGUGAGAGGAGAGAGGGUGAGAGGGAGAGAGGAUGAGAGGGUGAGAGGAUGAGAGGGCAAGAGGAUGAGAGGAUGAGAUGGGAGAGGAUGAGAGGGUGAGAGGAUGAGAGGGUGAGAGGGUGAGAGGAUGAGAGGGCGAGAGGAUGAGAUGAGAGAGGAUGAGAGGGUGAGAGGAUGAGAGGGUGAGAGGAUGAGAGGGUGAGAGGAGAGAGGGUGAGAGGACGAGAGGAGAGAGGGCGAGCACAAUGGCGACGGGGG
ensembl:lncRNA